rnacentral:rRNA from 2 species
UGGGGAGCAAACAGGAUUAGAUACCCUGGUAGUCCACGCCGUAAACGAUGUCGACUUGGAGGUUGUUCCCUUGAGGAGUGGCUUCCGGAGCUAACGCGUUAAGUCGACCGCCUGGGGAGUACGGCCGCAAGGUUAAAACUCAAAUGAAUUGACGGGGGCCCGCACAAGCGGUGGAGCAUGUGGUUUAAUUCGAUGCAACGCGAAGAACCUUACCUACUCUUGACAUCCAGAGAACUUUCCAGAGAUGGAUUGGUGCCUUCGGGAACUCUGAGACAGGUGCUGCAUGGCUGUCGUCAGCUCGUGUUGUGAAAUGUUGGGUUAAGUCCCGCAACGAGCGCAACCCUUAUCCUUUGUUGCCAGCGAUUCGGUCGGGAACUCAAAGGAGACUGCCGGUGAUAAACCGGAGGAAGGUGGGGAUGACGUCAAGUCAUCAUGGCCCUUACGAGUAGGGCUACACACGUGCUACAAUGGCGCAUACAAAGAGAAGCGACCUCGCGAGAGCAAGCGGACCUCACAAAGUGCGUCGUAGUCCGGAUCGGAGUCUGCAACUCGACUCCGUGAAGUCGGAAUCGCUAGUAAUCGUGGAUCAGAAUGCCACGGUGAAUACGUUCCCGGGCCUUGUACACACCGCCCGUCACACCAUGGGAGUGGGUUGCAAAAGAAGUAGGUAGCUUAACCUUC